GCGCGAUUAGCUCAGUGGUAGAGCGUUUGCAUGACACGCAAAAGGCCGCAGGUUCAAUCCCUGCAUCGCGCACCA
rnacentral:tRNA from 1 species